AGUGUGGGAGAGACCUUAGCUCCACGCGUCAUGUCUCCCAAUUCCUCUGAUUUUAGCCUCAGCUGAUGGACAGUGCCACACAAGUUCUGAUUGACAGUUACUCACCUCAAGCAUACUCCAUACAUCUUUCUGCCAAGAACAUUCUGCAACAUUAUGAAGUCCAUGUGCCCUAUAUGCAAGUAAAGCCAGAAGUCCUGGAGUAAUACCUCCAGUAGCAGCCCCUAUUGGGAAACAGAAGCCAAAACUGAAGCUCAGAAAUGCUGUGCUUAUCAUUCAUGUUGUUCACCAAAGAGUUGUUUUAUGCGGACUUACGUCUUCAUCGUCUCCUUCACUGAGAAAUAAGGAAAAAAACAACGGACUGGAUUUUCCUAGUUUCUACAGAUGCAAGAGCCAAAUGACUUUUGAGAUCAAGCUUCUCAAUACAAAGCCCAGAUCAAGCUUUUCAACACAAAAAGCCAUCAGCCUCAACAAAAUCCUAGGAAGCAGAAUUCAAGCAGUGAAGGAUAAUGUUUUGUUUAAGUUGUCAGUGUUCACCCUUCAAAAAUGUAAAAUAUAAUUCCAAAUCAAAAUCCAA
ensembl:lncRNA LINC00363 long intergenic non-protein coding RNA 363